GUGCAAAUUAAAGUGAAAUUGCUCAAUACAAAACAAAUGCUUAAAGAUCAAACUCUCCCCCCUGUCCACCUGCUCAGACAAAUUCACCUGAAAAAUUAGCUCCUAACUGGAAAUUUAAUGUACUGAUAACGAUAAAAAGAAAAUAAGUGAUUGACUAGAUUUGUGUGUAUCACUGAUUGGUCUGUGUUAUACAUUUUAUGGCCUUCUCUUUUUGGAUCUCUUGACA